rnacentral:rRNA from 1 species
AGUGAACGCUGGCGGUAGGCCUAACACAUGCAAGUCGAACGGCAGCAUAGUAAGAGCUUGCUCUUACGGGUGGCGAGUGGCGGACGGGUGAGGAAUACAUCGGAAUCUACUUUUUCGUGGGGGAUAACGUAGGGAAACUUACGCUAAUACCGCAUACGACCUACGGGUGAAAGCAGGGGAUCUUCGGACCUUGCGCGAUUGAAUGAGCCGAUGUCGGAUUAGCUAGUUGGCGGGGUAAAGGCCCACCAAGGCGACGAUCCGUAGCUGGUCUGAGAGGAUGAUCAGCCACACUGGAACUGAGACACGGUCCAGACUCCUACGGGAGGCAGCAGUGGGGAAUAUUGGACAAUGGGCGCAAGCCUGAUCCAGCCAUACCGCGUAGGUGAAGAAGGCCUUCGGGUUGUAAAGCCCUUUUGUUGGGAAAGAAAAGCAGCAGGUUAAUACCCCGCUGUUCUGACGGUACCCAAAGAAUAAGCACCGGCUAACUUCGUG